UGGGGAAUAUUGCACAAUGGGCGCAAGCCUGAUGCAGCCAUGCCGCGUGUAUGAAGAAGGCCUUCGGGUUGUAAAGUACUUUCAGCGGGGAGGAAGGGAGUAAAGUUAAUACCUUUGCUCAUUGACGUUACCCGCAGAAGAAGCACCGGUUAACUCCGUGCCAGCAGCCGCGGCAAUACGGAGGGUGCAAGCGUUAAUCGGAAUUACUGGGCGUAAAGCGCACGCAGGCGGUUUGUUAAGUCAGAUGUUAAAUCCCCGGGCUCAACCUGAGAACUGCAUCUGAUACUGGCAAGCUUGAGUCUCGUAGAGGGGGGUAGAAUUCCAGGUGUAGCGGUGAAAUGCGUAGAGAUCUGGAGGAAUACCGGUGGCGAAGGCGGCCCCCUGGACGAAGACUGACGCUCAGGUGCGAAAGCGUGGGGAGCAAACAGG
rnacentral:rRNA from 1 species